UGGGCAUUUAUAUUGUCAGUUUCUUCUCAAGGUGAAGAUAACUUUUUAUAAAUGUCCUAGAGAAGUAUAGUAACUUUGUGUUCAUUCUUUUUGAGACGAGAGGGUGGAUCAUUCCUCUGCUGACAGUC
ensembl:scaRNA